AUGGUCCCCGGUAACACCACGGACAUGAUCUCGUUGCUAGAUUUCAAACGGACCAUCAUCAAUGAUCCAAGGCAAGCCUUGAGCUCUUGGAAUACAAGCAUCCCCCAUUGCCAGUGGGAGGGUGUCAACUGCAGCCUGGCACACCCAGGGCGAGUCACGGUGCUCAACCUGACCGGCCAAAAUUUGCAUGGCCAAAUUGCUCCCUCUCUUGGAAAUUUAACCUUCCUUAGAAGUCUUGACCUCCGCUCAAACCGCUUCUUUGGUCAGUUGCCCACUCUUAACCACCUAUGUAGGCUGCAGUUUCUUCUCCUCGGAGAAAACACGCUGCAGGGAUUCGAUCCUGAUGCACAUGCAAAUUGCUCCAACUUGGAGCACCUAGACCUUUCUUCAAACUCGCUAAUGGGUUCGAUCCCCCAUAAAAUUGGUUUACUCUUCAGCCUUAUGGGUUUGAGCCUCGCUGGAAAUAAUUUCGCCGGCGUUAUCCCAUCAAGCCUGCGAAACAUCACCCUUCUACAUGAAAUCAACCUAGCAUUCAAUCAACUCGAAGGGAGCAUUCCUGAAGAGCUUGAACAAUUAUCAAAUCUAGUACUGCUGAAACUAGGUGGCAAUAGUCUUACCGGUAACCUCGCUGGCUUAACUAUGCUGACACUGGCUCAAAACAAUUUAUCCGGUCAAGUUGGAUCAUGGAUUGGGAAGUUAAUGAACCUGGAGGCGUUAAGCCUUUCAGACAAUAACUUUGCUGGGCCGAUUCCAUCCUCCAUUGGUGGGCUUACUCAGAUGACGAAGCUCUUCCUGUAUGGAAAUAAAUUUGAAGGCCCCAUACCAGCCAGUUUAGGAAACCUUCCAUUUCUAUCAGUAUUGAAUCUUAGUCGGAACAAUCUAAAUGGGCAUAUUCCUAAAGAGUUAUUUAGUCCUGUCUCCACAUUGACCACAUGUAUAGUAUCGUACAAUAAUUUCGAAGGUCCAAUUCCUCCCGAUGUUAGCAAUCUUAAGCAACUUGUCAACCUACAAACUUCGUCGAACAAACUUACCGGGGAAAUCCCUGGCACUUUGAGCGAAUGUAAAGAGUUGCAGAUCCUCCUAAUGGAUGGCAAUUUUCUCACUGGAAACAUUCCCAAGUCCUUAAGUAGUCUGAAAAGCUUGAGCGUGCUCAAUCUUUCCCAUAAUAUUUUGUCAGGAUUCAUCCCUAUAGAACUCAGUAGUCUGGCGUUCCUUACCCAACUCGAUCUCUCUAAUAAUGGUCUACAAGGUGAAAUACCAAGAGAAGGAGUAUUUGGAAAUGUUACGGCCGUCUCACUUGGUGGCAAUUGGGGACUAUGUGGAGGUAUCCUGGGCCUACAUAUGCCCUUAUGUCAUGGUGUUUCUCGAAGAUCAAAAACAGAGUACUAUUUGGUCAGAGCGUUGAUUCCAAUACUUGGUUUCAUGUCACUAGUGAUGUUGACGUACCUUGUGACCAUGAAGAAGACAACAGGAGGUACAUACAAAUUUGUACUUUCUUUUGGUAGGCAAUUCCCUAGAGUUACCUACAAGGAUCUAAAUCGAGCAACAGGGAGCUUCUCAGAAGCAAACCUCCUGGGAAGAGGAAGCUAUGGUUUAGUGUACAGAGGAAACUUAGCUCAAAGAGCAAGCAUAGCUGUUGGCAUAGCUGAUGCACUGGCUUAUUUACACCAUGACUGUGAAAGGCAGAUUAUACACUGUGAUUUGAAGCCAACUAAUAUCCUUCUUGGUGAUGAUAUGAAUGCCUAUUUGGGAGACUUCGGCAUUGCAAGCCUAGUUGGACAUUCAAGUUCAAAUACCUCGGUGGGACUGAAGGGAACACUAGGGUACAUUGCUCCUGAGUAUGCUCAAAGUGGUCAGGCGUCAAUCCGUGGAGAUGUUUACAGCUUUGGAAUAGUACUCCUAGAGAUGUUGAUUGGCAGAAGACCAACAGAUCCUUUGUUUGAGAAUGACCUUAGCAUGGUUAACUUUGUGGAAAGGAACUACCCAGAACAGGUACUACAAAUCAUUGAUGCUCGUCUUGAUGGAGAAUGCAAGGGAUAUAUCCAAGAAAACACUGGAACAGAAAAUGCGGCAUACAAAUUGGAGGGAUGGCUGGGCAGCAGCUUGCCGACGAGUUGGAGGAAGGGCUUGAUCCGGCCGGAUCUGGCCCCAAGGGCUCGUUCGUGGGCUAAUCAAGAAGAAGGUCGGGCUGGGCGCAUCUGCGUUGAGCGGUCCCGGCGCGUGUGCCCCUCGGUGGCGUCCUGGCCAGGUGCAACAAUCUGUGGGGUGGCUGCCUGUGUGCGUGUGCUUUCAGCGGCAUGUGGUGCGACAGCAAGUGGCAGUGGUUGUGGAGGUUCAGUAUGGUGGCCUGGGGAGAAGGUGGUCAGAUCCGGCAGGAUUUGGCUGUGGCGGCUCGAUGGUGGACUUUCUGAUGCGUGUCGUGUGGGGCUCGAGAGAUUGACCCGGGCGAAAGCUUUGUCUCAUGCGUAUCCGCAGUUUGAUUCAGCAUGUGGGCAUCGCUGA
rnacentral:rRNA from 1 species